rnacentral:rRNA from 1 species
UACGGAGGGGACUAGCGUUGUUCGGAAUUACUGGGCGUAAAGCGCACGUAGGCGGAUUUGUAAGUCAGGGGUGAAAUCCCGGGGCUCAGCCUCGGAACUGCCUUUGAUACUGCAAAUCUCGAGUCCGGAAGAGGUGAGUGGAAUUCCUAGUGUAGAGGUGAAAUUCGUAGAUAUUAGGAAGAACACCAGUGGCGAAGGCGGCUCACUGGUCCGGUACUGACGCUGAGGUGCGAAAGCGUGGGGAGCAAACAGG